UCGUAGACCUCUCAUUUAAUCUCGUUUGCGUUGGUGUUCGGUGUCCUUUUUCCGUGUCUUUUUCUUUUGUUUUAGGGUUUUUCUUGGUUUAGGGUUUCGAAUGUGUUCUUGAUCUGGUUUUAGGAUUUUGAAGGUGUUUUUGAUUUGUGAACUUCUGUGAUUUGUUCUGGCGUUUCUUGAUUCUGGGGUUUCUUGAUUUUAAUUUCGGUAUUUUUUGUUCUGGGAUUUCUUGAUUUUAAUUUCCUAUUUUUUUAAGAGGUAGCUGUAAGUUUAUGUGAUUUUAAUUUCGGUAUUUUUUUUUAGGAGGUAUCUGUAAAUUUCUGUGAUUUCACGUGUGUUCUUAUUUGUUUUGGAUUCUUUGUUUUACUCUGUUUUACAAAGGUUCUUCUUUUAUGCAGCAAUCUUGGACCCUCUUCUAUUUUUGACUUUUAUUUUAGAGUUUGCGUGUUCUAUGGGAUCCUUGUUUGCGUGUUCCAUGGGAUCCUUGUUUGUAUUGGAGUCUUUUAGGGUAACGUGGGGGGUUUGUAGAGUGAUGGUUCCAUUUUUCUUUUAGAUUUAUUUGAGAUCUUACAAGAAUGUGCAGUUGAGGGAUCUAAGCUCAUCCAAGUUCUGUAAGAUAAUUGAUUCUCUGUAACAUAAGCUCUUUGUUGCUUCUAUGCAGUAAUUGAGACUUCCGAUUCUUCUUUUAUGUCCUCCGAAUCUUCUCUGGUAUUCUUUCUUGGUGAUUGGCACCAGUUUAAUUGGUGCUGGUGAGCUGUUUUGUGAAAUUGGUGAUGUUGGGUUCCUUUUGUUUGAAUUUCAAGAUCUUUUGUCUCGGAGUUUUGAGGUCUUGUGGUGGUGGUGGUUUAUGUAAUUGGAAUAAUUCUAUGCUGGGUUUUGAUGUCCAGAAUUCAAGAGCUGUACUCUGGGUUAUUUGCAUUCAAUUUGAUGCCUAUGGAAUAAUUCUAUGCUGGGUCUUGAGAAAGUGGUGAUGAUCUGCAAAUUUUUUCCUCCUUUAGGGGACCAAGGCAAAUCUAAAGGGGUUUUAUUUAUUUUGCUAUGCUGGAUCGGUUUGAUUUCAGAUGGUAUUAUUCUAUUUAGUCAUUGUUGUGACUUGUCUACAUAUGCAGCUCAGUUGAUGGGUUGAAGCGCAUGUCAUUGCAAUGAUAGGAACUGUGUCGAAGUGCUCUUCUCAAUCCAUGAUUAUCUCAAAUGAUGGAUUCUCAGUUGAUUGGGCUUCGGGGAAACCGUUAUCGCCAUUUGGCCUUGGUUCGCAGAUGGUCGUCAUGUUUUGGGGAAAACAGGUUUCCAUUUUGAUUUGAAGACGAGUUCCAAUUCUUUUAAUUGUGGUGGCAUGUAUUAAGUUGUAUGGUGACUAAGUUAUCUCUGUCUGCUUUUUUGGGAUGUCUGGUAAUUCUUUUGCAUGAUUUCGUGAAGGUAACUUGGUGGAAUGCUCCAGUGCAUGUACAACGAAAGUUUGGUUUCUCAUAUCUCACUCGAAUCUGAAUCUAGAAAUUGGGUACAGUUUGAAUUAGGACUUGCUGGGGCCGAAUCACUAUUUUACAAGAUAUGCGAUUGACUUGGUUUGAUAUUAAUGAAUAUUGUCUCAGUUGUUAAAAUUUUGUGCCCUUAGGUGCUGUGACAUGUUUCUCAUGGAGGCAAUGAUGCAGGCAUGGAUGGUACUAUUUUGAUGUUCCUUCUGAGAUUGCUGGUUUCUUUCUUCUCGUGUUGAACUAUUUUGUAUCAGUUGCAUUUACUUUAUUGGAUCAUUGGCGCUAAUCUUGAAGAGUAUAUGAACUAGAGAGUAUGUGAACUAGCUAUUUUGACUGGAUUGGUUCUGGAGUUGUGUCAUGGCCAUAGCAAUUUAUUGUAGUUAUUUUGGGGGAUAUACUGAAUUCACUCACUUUUAGUUAUAUGCAUUCUGCUUAGGUUUUUUAUUUGGUACUUGCGGCUUUUCGGAAUGGUUGAAGAUGGUCAUGCCAGAUUGCAAUCACAACUUAAAUUGGGGUUUUCUCUAGUUUUGGACAGCUUUCAUGUUACCUUCCUUUGUAUUCCAGCUUGAAUUCGACAUUUUCAGUUCAGUUUAAAUUUGGAGUUUUGGAGAUGAGUCGUCAUUAUUGUUAUAUGUUGGGGUAUUUGAUUAUGUGUAUCAAAGAUUUGAAGAAAGGUGUCUGUUUUCUGGUUCAAUCAGAUGAGGUCUGUUUCUCAAAUUAAAUCACACCAGUGUGAUUCAUUCGAACAUGAAGCCUGAAGAGAUGGUCUUAGGUCGGAUUAUUGGUUUCGUUUUAUUUGAUUUGUUGUUUAGUCUUAAUUUCUGGAGGCAUCUACUAUUAAAUUCUCUGCUUCUGAUGUCUAUUAUGUCUAGGUACCAUGGCAAUCCUACCGUCCUUUUUGGCUAAUUAAUGGAUGCAAAGUUCUUGUUUCUGGGUUGUGUGGGCCUUGAUAUUUUAUUUCUUCGAUGCCUCUUUUUUUUGGCUUGAUUUUGUUAUACAAACUCCAAAUUGCUUUUGGGUUGUUUAUAGUCAACUUGGGGAAGAAAGCACAUAUUGGAAGGGCUUAUUUCGUCUAUAUAGCGAUCAGUAUGGAUUCUAAAUUGUUUUAUUUUUAUUUCUGCCAUUGUGACCUGGAGAUGUUCUAUCUGAAUUUGGAGCUUCUUAAAUGAGCUAAAGAUUUGUUAUUUGUUUUGGGGAAAAUUUCCUCCUAUUUACCUUUAUCGCUGAAUGUUUUUAAAUUGGUGGUAUUGGUAUGGAACUAUAUGACUAAAGUCCUUAUUACUUCAAGUUUGCAGUUUUGAUACCGCGGGGCUAGUAGUUUGUCAAAUCGCAUCGCAUUGUUGCCAUUGCUCUGCAUUGUCCUAGAAUUAAUCUGGUGUUCCUAGUGGUGUUCAAUGUUGGUCCUUGCUGUUCCGGAUUUUGGAUCUCUCUUGUUCAAUUCAAAACCAACGAGUUUGUCAAAUUGCAUCGCAUUGUUGCCAUUGCUCUGCAUUGUCCUAGAAUUAAUCUGGUGUUCUUAGUGGUGCUCAAUGUUGGUCCUAGCUGUUCCGGAUUUUGGAUCUCUCUUGUUCAAUUCAAUACCAGCGAUUGUUUGUAUGUUUCUUCUUUCUAGGUUUUCUCCGUUCUGUUUUUUGGUUUUAUUUGUUCCUUAGUGACCAUUCAUAGGUUCUCUUAUUGUCCUCUUAUGAUUCAUGUAUUAGUGUUGUGGCGUCCGGGCAUGUAUUUUUUAACUAAUGUGUUCUAUUUUUAUAAUCUUUUUUGCUUUGUGCUUUUCCUGAUUGUUCAACGCACUUGAGUUUUAUUGUAACUAUGCGCUUUUCUUUGUCUUUUCACUCUUUGGGUUUCUGAACAAGUUGCUAAUGGGGGGGGGUUUUUCAUUUUGUAAUUAAUUUUUGGGUGGAUCUCUCAUCCCAUUUAUUGUGGGGUUUCUUAAUUUUUUAGGGAGGAUCUAUCCUUCUUGAUUCUUGAAUUAAUUUGGUUUCUUGGAAAUUGAAAGCAUGAGAAUCUCCCCCUUCACGCACUUGUAAUUUUUUGUAGAGGCCCUCUCAUUUUUUUGAUAUUUUGUGCCUUGGGUAUUAGUUUGGUACAGUGAUAUACUUUUGCUCUUUGUUUGUAAAUGUUUAUAUGUUGAUUGUGAAGUCUUAGUUUGCAUUGAUUGUUCUCCUUAGGUAACAUAGUGAUUUCCCUUUGUACUCGGUGGUACACAUUGGACUGUUUCAAGUUUGCUGUUUAGCAGUGUGGUUUGAUUUAUCUUGACCCAACCCAACUUUGGACCUUCUUUCUUGUUAGCUAGCCUAGAGUUGCUCUUUGUUGAUUAUAUGAUGAAUGUGUCCUGGCAAUGUUGUAGGUGGGGAAGCUACAGAUUGAUUGGUUGUUUGUCCAAUGGGCUCCAUGGCAUACGGCUGCUGGGUGGGCUUUGUUUGGUAUGGUUUAAUUUUAGUCUCCUGGCGACGAUGUAGGUGGGGGAGCUAUAUAUCGAUUGGUUGGUUGCCCAAUGGGCUCCAUGGCAUACGGCUGCGGUGUGGGCUCUGUUUGGUUUCUAUAUGCUCUCCGAUUGGAACAUGUGGACAAAAUUAGGUGAUGAGAGUGACAGAAACAUUCAAAUCCAAAACAUUGUGUACCAUUUAUAGAGCUCUGGUGAAUGGGUGUAAGUUAUCCUGGAUAUCUUUGGAUUGUCAAUUUCAUUGAUAUAUUAUAUACUGGCUUUCUGCCUGAUCUACGAGGUGUCUAGGUAGUUCCUUCUUGUGUCUUGUAACAGUGAGGACCAGGAGUGCCAACACACAUGGAAUGGGGACGGACGGGUUCAUGGGAUUAUUAAUUGAGAACUUGUUGCAAAUUGAAAGAUGGUUUGAUCCUGUGCCUCUUGCCUUGACUUAUGCGAAUGGGGACGGGUUCACAGGGUUAUUAAUUGAGAACUUGUUGCAAAGUGGUUUGAUCUGUGCCUCUUGCCCCGUCUUAUGUGAAUUGCAGUUUCUUCUUGCUGUCUAGCCUAGAGUUGCUCUUUGUUAAUUAUAUAAUGAUACCCUUGCAUCCUGGCGAUGCUGUAGGUGGGGGAGCUAUAUAUCGAUUGGUGGCUUUCCCAAUGCUCUAUUUGGUAUGUUUUAAUUAUUGUGAAGUGUUUUGGAUCUCUCAGAGGUAUAUACAUUGGCUGUUUGUAAAAGCACUCUAGAGGGCUUUGCUCGUGUUUGGAUUUCAGUUUCUUGUUGCAUUUUGUUGGAUGGCUGGCAGUUAGGUUAGGUUUCUAUGUGCUUUCUGACGGAAACAUGUGGACGGUAUGAGGUGACGAGAGGCCAGGAACAUUCAAAUGUCAGAAGCAUCGCGUACCAUUUAUGGAGCUCUGGUGAAUGGGCGUAAGUUAUCCUCAAUAUAUUUGGAUGCCAAUUCAUUGAUAAUGCAUUAUAUACUAGCUGUCUACCUGAUCUACGAUGUGUCUGGGUAGUUCCCUAGUGGUGUAUCAGGAGUUGCAACACACCUAGAAUAGGGAUGGGUGCACAAGAUUAUUAAUUGAGAACUGGUUUCAAAGGGAAAGAUGGUUUGAUAUGUGCCUCUUGCCCUCACCUAUGUGAAUCGCAGUUUUCUGAGUUGUUUUAGUGGUGGUGUGAUCAAUACGUUCUGGUCACUUUUUAUUUUUAGACGGAAUGAGGAUAAAUAGCUACAUGAGAUAUGCAUUAAUUCGUUUUUCAGAGAUCGGAGGUGGAAGAGAAGGGAUUUGGUGACGUCGUGCAUUCACUCUUCGUGGUUCCUUUUAUGCAGUAUUUUCUUUAGCUGAUUUGCCUGUAGGAGCCGUUUCUUUACAUGAUACUAUUUUUUAUCUUUAAUGAAGCUCUUGACAAAUAUGUUGUGUUUUGUUCUUUAGUAUCUUGACUUUUCCUCUAUAUUCUAUGAUUCUUAUUUGCCUUGAUAUUUGUGUUCUCAGAUAUCAUCUUUAGUUUAAACACAUUUUCUUUUCUUUAUCACCCCUUUUUUUGGUUUUUUUUUUUUUUGCUGGUGGGGGGGGAUGUUAGGUUGUUUUUGGGUGGAAUCAGUUUGGUGCAGUGAUAUACUUAUGCUAUUUGUUUGUAAAUGUUUAUAUGUUGAUUGUGAAUUCUUAGUUUUCAUUGAUUGUUCUUCUUAGGUACCAUGGUGAUUUGCCCUUGUAAUCGGUGGCACACAUUGGACCGUUAUGAGUUUGUUGUCACGCAGUGUGGUUUGAUUUAUCUGGACUCAACUUUGGACCUUUCUUGUUGUCUAGCCUUGAGUUGCUUUUUGUUGAUUAUAUGGUGACACUUUUGCAUCCUGGCAACCCUGUAGGUGGGGGAGCUAUACAUAGAUUGGUUGUUUGCCCAAUGCUCUAUUUGAUAUGUUUUAAUUAUAGUGAAGUGUUUUGGAUCUCUUAAAAUACACUGGCUGUUGUUGUGUUGGGGCUUUAGGCUGCAUCAUGGUGCCAGCAUACAUACUGCCAGCUGAUUUUCAGUUUCGUGUUGCAUUUUGUUGGAUGGCUGCCAGAGUUAAGUUUCUACAUGGUUUCGGAUUGGAACAUGUGGACAGUUUGAGGUGACGAGAGUGCCAGGAACAUUCAAAUGCCAAAAAGAUUGUUUACCAGCUACAGAGCUCUUAUGAAUGGGUGCAAGUUAUCCUUGAUAUCUUUGGAUGUCAAUGCCAUUGAUAAUAUAUUCUAUAUUAGCUUUCUACCUGAUCUUCGAGGUCUCUGGGUAGUUCCAUGUUUGGUGUCUAACCGUGACUCUCCAUUGGUGGAAUGGGGAUGGGUGCAUAGGGUUAUCAAGUGAGAACUGGUUGCGAAGUGAAAGAUGGUUUGAUGUGUUCCUAAUUCCCUGACUUAUGUAUAUUCUUGUUGUCUGAGGUUUUUAGUGUCGAUUUGAUAUUUAUGUUUACUUCUAGUCACCUUUUGUUUUGAGAUGGAAUGAGGAUGAAAAGUCACCUGAGCUAUGAAUUUAUUGGUUUUUCAGAGAUUGGAAGUGGAAGAGAAGGGAUUUGGUGAUGUCCAUACACUCGUUACUUUUUUAUUGGUGGUUCCUUUUAUGCAGAAUUUUCUUUGGCUGAUUUGCAUGUAGGAGCCGUUGUGUUUUCAUACAGUGAUAUAGUUUUGCUCUGUUUGUAAAUGUUUGUAUGUUGAUUGUGAAGUCUUUGUUUGUUUUGAUUGUUCUCCUCAGGUACCAUGGUGAUUUGCCCAUGUAGUCGGUGGCACACAUUGGACUGUUUCGAGUUUGUUGUCUAGCAGUGUGGUUUGAUUUAUCUGUACUCUACUUUGGACCUUCUUUCUUGUAGUCUAGCUUAGUGGUUCUUUUUGUUAAUUAUAUGAUGAUACUCUUGCGUCCUGGCAUUGUUGUAGGUCGGGUAUAUAGAUAUCGAUUGGUUGUUUUGCCAAUGGGCUCCAUGGCAAAUGGCUGCUUGGUGGGCUUUAUUUGGUAUAUUCACUGGCUAUCGUUAUGUUGGGGGUUUAGGCUACAUCAUGGUGCUAGCAACAAUAUUGCCAGCUCAUUUGUAUUUCAGUUUCUCGUUGCAUUUUGUUGGAUGGCUGGCAGUUUGGUUUCUAUGACAUGUGGACAGUAUGAGGUGAUGAGAGUGCCCUGAACAUUUAAAUGUCAGAAAUUUCAUUGACCAUUUAUAGAACACUGGCAAAUGGGUGUAAGUUAUCCUUGAUGUCUUUGGAUGUCAAUUUCAUUGAUGAUACAUUCUAUAUUGGCUUUCUGCCUGAUCUAUGAGGUGUUCGGGUAGUUCCUUUUUUGGUGUCUGUAACAGUGACUCUCCAAUGGUGGACCAGGGGUGCAACACAUGGAAUGGGGACUGGUGCAUAGGGCUAUUAAUUGAGAACUAGUUGCAAACUAAAAGAUGGUUUGAUCGUUGCCUCUUGCCUUGACCUAUUUUAAUUGCAGUUGUUUGAGGUAUUCAAUAUUGGUUUGACCUAUACAUUCUUCUAGUCACAUUUUGGUUUGAGAUGGAAUGAGGAAGAAAACUCACAUGAGUAUGCGUUUAUUGGUUUUUCAGAGAUCAGAGGUGGAAGAGAAGGGAUUUGGUGUCGAUGAAUAUUCUUACUUUUUUAUUGGUGGUUCCUUUAUUGCAGUAUUUUCUUUAGCUGAUUUUCCUUUAGGAGCUGGUGCAUGAUGUUCACUGUUCAGGAUGCUAUUUUUUCUCUUUUUAUCACUAGGUGGGGAAGCUACAUAGCGAUGGGUUGUUUGCCCAAUAGGCUCCAUGGCAUAUGGCUGCUGGAUGGGCUUUGUUGGUAUAUUUUAAUUAUGGUCUCUUGGGGACGCUGUAGGUGGGCGGGCGAUAUAUCAAUUGGUUGUUUGCCCAAUAGGCUCCAUGGCAUACGGCUGCUGGGUGGGCUCUGUAGGUAUGUUUUAAAUUAUAGUGAAGUGUUUUGGAUCUCUCAGAGGUAUAUACACUGGCUGUUGUUAUAUUGGGGGGUUUAGGCUGCAUCAUGGUGCUAGCAACCAUGUUGUUAACUGAUUUGUAUUUUAGGUUCCUGUGGCAUUUUGUUGGAUGGCUGGCAGGUAGGCUUCUAUUUUCUCUCUGAUUGGAACAUGCGGAGAAAAUGACUUGGCAAGUGACAAGAAACAUUCAAAUGUCAGAAACAUCGGGUACCAUUAUAGAGCUCUGGUGAAUUGGCGUAAAUUAUCCUUGAUAUCUUUGGAUGUCAACUUCAUUGAUGAUACAUUCUAUGCUGGCUUUCUGCCUAAUCUAAAGGUGGCUUUUUGCAUAUUCUGCAACGUGUUUUGGUAAGCUCCAUCUUUUGUGUCUUGUAACAGUGAGGACUAGGAGUGCCAACUCACAUGGUAUAGUGAUGGGUUCACGUGAUUAUUAAUUGAGAACUUGUUGCAAAGUGAAAGAUAGUUUUGUGCCUCUUGCUCAGCUUAUGUUAAUGGGGAUGGGUUCACAGGGUUAUUAAUUGAGAACCUGUUGCAACAUGAAAGAUGGUUUGAUUUGUGCCUCUUGCCUUGACUUACGUGAAUUGCAGUUUCUUCUUGCUGUCUAGCCUAGAGUUGCUCUUUUUUAAUUAUAUGAUGAUACUCUUGCGUCCUGGCGAUGCUGUAGGAGGGGAACCUAUGUAUCGAUUGGUGGUUUUCCCAAUGCUCUAUUUGGUAUGUUUUAAUUAUAUUGAAGUGUUUUUGAUCUCUCAGAGGUAUAUACACUGGCUAUUGUUAUGUUGGGUGUUUAGGCUGCAUCAUGGUGCUAGCAACAACUUUGUCUGCUGAUUUGUAUUUCAGUUUCUUGUUGCAUUUUGUUUGAUGGCUGGUAGUUUGGUUUCUAUAUACUUUCUGACCGGAACAUGUGAACAGUAUGAGGUGACGAGAGUGCCAGGAGCAUUCAAAUGUCAGAAACAUCGCGUACCAUUUAUAGAGCUAUGGUUAAUGGGCGUAAGUUAUCCUCAAUGCAUUUGGAUGUCAAUUCAUUGAUAAUACAUUCUAUAUUAGCUGUCUGCCUGAUCUACAAGGUGUUUGGGUAGUUCUAUCUUUGGUGUUCGUAACAGUGACUCCUUAGUGGUGGACCAGGAGUUUCAAUACGCCUGGAAUCGUGACGGGUGCACAGGAUUAUUAAUUGAGAAUUGGUUUUGAACGGAAAGAUGGUUUGAUCUGUGCCUCUUGCCCUCACCUAUGGGAAUAACAUUGUUUUGAGUUGUUUGGUGUUGGUUUGAUCUUUACAUUCUUCUAUUGUCACCUUUUAGUUUGAAUGAGGAAAAGUUACCUGAGAUAUGCAUUUAUUUGUUUUUCCGAGAUCAGAGGUGGAAGAGAAGGGAUUUGAUGACAUCGUGCAGUCACUCUUGGUGGUUCCUUUUAUGCAGGAUUUUCUUUAGCUGAUUUGCCUGUAGGAGCCGUUGCUUUACAGGAAUCUAUUUUUCUCUUUUGUUAAAAUCUUGACAUUGUGUUGUGUUUUUUUUCUUCAGCAUUUGGGCUUUUCCUCUAUAAAUCAUCAAUUUCAAUGAUGAUUUAUUCUAUAUUAGCUUUCUACCUGAUCUUUGAGGUUUCUGGGUUGUUCCAUCUUUGGUGUCUGUAACAGGAGUGCACAUACACACAUGGAAUGGGGACGGUGCACAGGGUUAUUAAGUUUGAACUGGUAGGUUUGAUCUGUGCCUCUUUCCCUGACUUGUGUGUAUUCCUAUUUGAGUUCUAUAGUGUCGGUUUAAUAUCUAUACAUUCUUCUAGUCACCGUCUGUUUUGAGAUGGAAUGAGGAUGAAAAGUCACCUGAGAUAUGUAUAUAUAUUGGUUUUUCGUAGAUUGGAGGUGGAAGCGACAGGAUUUGGUGACAUCCAUUCACUCUUACUUUUUUAUUGGUGGUUCCUUUUGUGCAGGAUUUUCUUUAGCUGAUUUGCAUGUAGGAGCUGUUGUAUAUUGGUUCAAUGAUAUACUUUUGCUUUAUUUGUAUAUGUUUAUAUGUUGAUUGUGAAGUCUUUGUUUGCGUUGAUUGUUCUUCUUAGGUACUAUGGUCAUUUGCCCAUGUAAUCAGUGGCACACGUUGGACUGUUUCGAGUUUGUUGUCUAGCAGUGUGGUUUGAUUUAUCUAUACUCUACUUUGGACCUCCUUUCUUGUUGUCUAGCCCAGUGGUCCUUUUUGUUAAUUAUAUUUUGAUACUCAUGUGUCCUGGCGAUGCUGUAGGUGGGGUAUCUAUAUAUCGAUUGGUUGUUUGCCCAAUGGGCUUCAUGGCAAAUGGCUGCUGGGUGGGAUUUGUUCGGUAUAUUCAUUAGCUAUUUUUUUUGUCAUCAUGGUGCUAGCAGCAAUAUUGUCAUGGCAAAUGGCUGCUGGGUGGGAUCUGUUCGGUAUAUUCGUUAGCUAUUUUUUUAUCAUCAUGGUGCUAGCAGCAAUAUUGUCAGCUCAUUUGUAUUUCAGUUUCUUGUUGCAUUUUGUUGGGUGGUUGGCGGUUAGGUUUCUAUAUGAUUUCUGACUGGAACAUGUGGGCAGUUUGAGGUGACGAGACUGCCAUGAACAUUCAAAUGUCAGAAACAUCGUGUACCAUUUAUAGAAGUCUGGUGCAUGGGCGUAAGUUAUCCUUGAUGUCUUUUUAUGUCAAUUUCAUUGAUGAUACAUUUCUAUAUUGGCUUUCUGCCUGAUCUACGAGGUGUUUGGGUAGUUCCAUAUUUGGUGUCUGUAACAGUGACCCUCUAGUGGUGGACCAGGCGUGCCAACACACAUGGAAUGGGGACGGGUGCAUAUGGCUAUGAAUUGAGAACUAGUUGCAAAGUGAAAGAUGGUUUGAUCUGUGGCCUCUUAUCCUGACCUAUGUUAAGUGCAGUUGUCUGAGGUAUUCAGUGUUGGUUUGAUCUAUACGUUCUAGCCACCUUUUGGUUAGACAUGGAAUGAGGAUGAAAAGUCACCCGAGGUAUGCAUUUAUUGGAUUUUCAGAGAUCGGAGGUGGAAGAGAAGGGAUUGGGUGUCGAUGUCCAUUCUUACUUUUUUAUUGGCGGUUCCAAUCUUGUAGGAUUUUCUUUAGUUGAUUUGCCUUUAGGAAGCGGUGUUUGUUUCUUCAGUAUUUGGGCUUUGCCUCUACAUCCUAUCUUUAUUAUUUGCCUUGAAAUUUGUGUUUGUCCAGUCAGAUAUCAUCUUUGGCUUCAAAACAUUUUCUUUUCUUUUUGUCCCCCCCACCGCCCUCUUUUUUUUGUGGUGUGGGGGAUGUUGGGGGUUUUUUGGGCGGAAUCAGUUUGGUACAAUGAUAUACUUUUGCCCUUUGUUUGUAAAUGUUUAUAUGUUGAUUGUGAAGUCUUAGUUUUCAUUGUUUGUUCACGUUAGGUACCAUGCUGGUUUGCCCUUGUAAAUGGUGGCACACAUUGGACUGUUUCGAGUUUGUUGUAUCACAGUGUGGUUUGAUUUAUCUGGACUCUACUUUGGAACUUCUUUCUUGUGGUCUAGCCUAGAGUUGCUCUUUGUUGAUUAGGUGAUGAUACUCUUUUGUCCUGGUGAUGCUGUAGGUGGGGGAGCUGUACAUCGAUUGGUUGUUAUGCCCAAUGCUUUGGUAUGUUUUAAUUAUAAUUGAAGUGUUUUGGAUCUCUCAGGUAUAUACAGGUGUAUACACUGGUUGUUGUUAUGUUAGGGGUUUAGGCUGCAUCAUGGUGCUGGCAACCAUAUUGUCAGUUGAUUUGUAUUUCAGUUUUAUGUUGCAUUUUGUUGGAUGGUUGUCAGUUUCUUUUCUAUAUGCUUUCUGACUGGAACAUGUGGACAAUAAGUAUGAGGACUGGAACAUGUGGACAAUAAGUAUGAGGUGACGAGAGUGCUUGGAACAUUCAAAUGUCAGAAACAUUGUGUAUCAAUUAUAGGGGUUCUGGUAAAUGGGCAUAAGUUAUUUUUGAUAUCUUUGGAUGUCAAUUUUAUUGAUGAUACAUUCUUAGUUUUCUGCCUGAUCUUUGAGGUGUCUGGGUAGUUCCAUCAUUUGUGUCUGUAACAGUGACUCUCCAGUGGUGGACUAGGAGUGCCAACACACAUUGAAUGGGGACGGGGGUGCACAGGUUUAUUGAUUGGAAACUGGUUCAAAGUGAAAGAUGGUUUGAUCUGUGCCUCUUGUCCUGACUUAUGUGAAUUGCAGUUGUCUGAGUUGUUUAGAGUUAGUUUGAUCCAUACGUUCUUCUGGUCACAUUUUAGUUUGUUGGAAUGAGGAUUAAAAGUCACCUGAGAUAUGCAUUUGGUGAUGUUGUCCAUUCACAAUUACUUUUUCAGGGAUCGAAGGUGGAAGAGAAGGCAUUUGGUGAUGUUGUCCAUUCACUAUUACUUUUUCUUGGUGAUUCCUUUUAUGCAGGAUUUUCUUUCGGUUAUUUGCCUGUAUGAGCCGUUGUAUACGGGAUACUAUUUUCUCUUUAUUAGUCUCUUGACAAUAUGCUGUGUUUGUUUAUUUGCUAUCAUGGCUUUGCCUGUCUUUUAUGUUUAUUAUUUGCCUUGAGAUUUGUGUUUAUGCAAUUAGAUUAUCAUCUUUAGCUUCAACACAUUAGCUUUUCUUUUCUUUUUCCCCCCUCUUUUUUUGUUGGGGGGUGAGAGGGGGGGGGGGGAUGUUGGGCUGUUUUUUGGCUGAAUCAGUUUGGUGCACUGAUAUACUUUUGCUCUUUGUUUGAAAGUGUUUAUAUGUUGAUUAUGAUGUCUAGUUUGCAUUGAUUAUUCUCCUUAGGUACCAUGGUGGUUUGUCCAUGAAAUCGUGGCACACAUUGGACUGUUUCCAGUUUGUUGUCUGGAAGUGUGGUUCGAUUUAUGUGGACUCGACUUUGGACCUUCUUUCUUGUUGUCUAGCCUAGACUUUUUUUUUUUUAAUUAUAUGAUGAUACUCUUGCGUCUUGGCGAUGCUGUAGAUGGGGGAGCUAUAUAUUGAUUGGUUGGUUGCUCUAUGGGGUCCAUGUCAUAGUGCUGCGGGGUGGCUCUAUUUGGUAUGUUUUAAUUAUAGCGAAGUAUUUUUGAUCUCUCAGAGGUAUAUGCAUUGGCUUUUGUUAUGUUGGGGGUUUAGGCUGCAUCAUGGUGCUAGCAAGCAUAUUGUUGGCUGAUUUGUAUUUCAGUUUAUUGUUGCAUUUUGUUGGAUGGCUGUUUCUAUACGCUUUCUCACUAGAACACAUGGACAGUAUGAGGUAAUGAGAGCGCUAGGAAAAUUCAAAUGUCAGAAACAUUUUAUAGAGCUCUAGUGAAUGGACGUGUAAGUUACUCUUGCUAUCUUUGGAUCUCAACUUCAUUGAUGAUACAUUCUAUAUUGGCUUUCUGCCUGAUUUAUGAGGUGCAUAUGUAGUUCCUUCUUUGGUGUAUGUAACAGUGAAUCUCCAGUGGUGGACUUGGAGCGCCAACACACAUGGAAUGGGGACGGGUGCACAAGGUUAUUAAUUGAGAACUGGUUGCAAAGUGAUAGAUGGUUUGAUCUGUACCUCUUGCCUUGACCUAUGUGAAUUGCAGUUGUCUGAGUUGUUUAGUGUUGGUUUGAUUUAUACGUAACUUCUAGUUGCCCUUUUGGUUUGAGGUGGAAUUAGGAUGAAUAGUCACAUGAGAUGCACAUUUAUUGGUUUUUCAGAGAUUGUAGCUGGAAGAGAAGGGAUUUGGUGCCAUUGUCCAUUCACUCGUUACUUUUUUAUUGGUGGUUCCUUUCUUGUAGGACUUUCUUUUAUUUGAUUUGCCUGUAGGAGUUGUAUAUUAGUCCAUUACUAUACAAUAUACUACUCUUUCUCUUUUAUUUAGCUCGUGUUUGUUUCUUUGGUAUCUCGCCUUUGCCUCUUUAUUCUAUGUUUACUAUUUACCUUGAGAUUUGUCUUUGUAUAGUUAGAUGCCUUUGCCUCUUUAUUCUAUGGUUACUAUUUACCCUGAGAUUUGUGUUCGUCAAUUCAGGAAUCUGAUGAGAAGUUAGGUUUUUAUAUGCUUUGUGACUGGAACAUAUGGAGAGUAGUGACGUGACGAGUGCUAGGAACAUUCACAUGUCAGAAACAUUGUGUUGCAUUUAUAGAUCUCUGGUGAAUGGGCAUAACUUAUCCUUGAUAUCUCUGGAUGUCAAUUUCAUUGUUGAUACAUUCUAUAUUGGCUUUUUGCUUUAUCUAUGAGGUGUCUGGGUAGUUCCAUCUUUGGUGUCUGUAACAGUGAGUGGUGGACCCGGUAGCGCCAACACACAUGGAAUGGGGAUGGGUGCACAGGAAUAUUAAUUGAGAAUUGGUUCCAAAGUGAAAGAGUUGCAAAGUAAAAGAUGGUUUGAUCUGUGCCUCUUACCCUGACCUAUGUGAAUUUCAGUUGUCUGAGUUGUUUAGUGUUGGUUUGAUCUAUACAUUCUUCUAGUCACCUUUUGGCAAUUAAUCAAUGUUCUCUGUAGAUUUUGAGAUGGAAUGAGGAUGAAACGUCACCUGAGAUAUGCUUCUAUUGGUUUUUCAGAGAUUGGAGGUGAAAGAGGAGGGACUUGGUGAUGUUGCCCUUUUUUAUUGGUGGUUCCUUUUAUGCAGGAUUUUCUUUAGCUGAUUUGGCUGUAGGAGCCAUUGUAUAUUGGUCCAUCACUAUGCCGGGUGCUAUCUUGUCUCUUUUAUUAAGCUCUUGACAGUAUGUUGUGUUUAUUUAUUCUAUGGGGAUGGGUGCAUAGGGUUAUUAAUUUGAACUAUUGCAAAGUGAAAGAUGGUUUGAUCUAUGUGAAUUGCAGUUAUUUAAUUUUUUUAGGGUUGGUUUGAUCUAUAUGUUCUUCUAGUCACUUUUUGGUAAUUGAUCAAUGUUGCUACUCUCUAGAUUUUGAGAUGGAAUGAGGAUGAAAAUAUGCAUUUAUUGGUUUUUCAGAGAUCGGAGGUGGAAGAGAAGGGAUUUGGUGACGUCCAUUCACUCUUUACUUUUUUAUUGGUGGUUCCUUUUAUGCAGGAUUUUCUUUGCUGAUUUGCCUGUAGUAGCCGUUGUAACGGUGGUCCAUCACUGUAUUGGAUGCUAUUUUUUCUCUUGUAUUAAGCUCUUGACAAUAGGCUGUGUUUGUUUCUUCGGCAUCUGGCCUUUGACUUGUUUUUCUCUGUUUAUUAUUUUCCUUGAGAUCUGGGUUUGUAUAGUUAGAUUAUCAUCUUGCCAUCAUUAUUGAUUCGGGGAUCUGCUGAGAUGUUAGGUUCCUAUAUGCUUUCUGACUGGAAUAUGUGGACUGUAUGAGGUGACGUGAUUGCCAGGAAGCCCCCAAUUGUUUUUUUUUUAAGGUUUUGUGAUUUUGAUUUGGGGUUCUUUUUGGAGGGAAACCGUAAGGUUUGUGAUUAUGUGUAUAAUGCGGGAGCUCUCAAUUAUUUUCCAGCAAUUUUUUUAUCUGAAGAUUGAAUCAUUAUGUGUAUCUUGGCGUUCGUUAUUUUUGGGGAUCUUUUUUUUUGGUUUGGUUCUAUUGAGGUUUCUCCCGUUGAUCAUGCUAGUUUGCUCUGUUCUUCAGUGGGCCAAGUGGGAGUGGAUGCGAACUCAAAAUCUGUUCGUAUUAUACUGGCAACAGGACCAAAAGAUGCACUCUUGAGAGAGGAACCUCUAGUAAGGGAUUUUCUUGGGUAUACAGAUUUGUUUUGGUUUAUUGGUCUUACUCAGAUUUGUAAUGCUCCUUUUGUAUGCAUCAACUUAUGGCGUUCUUCUGCAUGUAUUCAUGUGCCCUUUACAAUUUUAGUCAUUUUAGGGUUUCAUUGUGGUUUAUAGGAUGAUGGUUCUGUUUUUAUUUCAUUGUAUUUAAGUUGUGGUUUCAAAGGUCGAAGCUAAUCUAAGGUGUGUAAGAUAAUCAACUAUAAGUAAGGCUGGCUCUGUUGCCCUAUAUUCGGGUCUUCCUUUAUUAAUUGAGUUUACCAAUUCUCCAGUUUUACCCCUCCGAUUCUUCUUUGGUUUUGUUUCUUGGUGAUUGCUUGCAGAGUUUUGGUGAAUUUUGUUGACUCCUAAUGCGAUUGCACUCUGGAUGCUCUCUGACUCUCCUCUAGGUGAUGAUGUCUUAUGAAGUUGUUAAAGAGGUUCUUUUUUGUUCAAGCAUUGAAAAUUGCUCUCGGGUUCUUCUUGGUUAUCGAUUAGAGAGCUAUCAUUGUAACCUAACAUUAUAGUUUGCUUCAGUUGGUGGAGAAAUAAGGUUUCAUUAUCAUAUUCAUUUGCAUCGUCGCUGUUUAGCUUAUGAUGCAAUUCUGAUGGCAGUUCAGAUGCCUAAGUUAUUGUGGAUCACUUCUGUUGAGUUUGCUGUAUCAUGUUGUCAAAAUUUCAAGAUUAUUACUUUGGGUUAUUUGCAAUCAACUUGAUCCAUGUGGAAAUGAACUUGAUGCUGAUAGUGGUUGAGGUGUUCUGCAACUUGUUCCAUUUUGUUAAAGGAAGCAAUGCAAAUUGGAAGGGUGUUAUUUCCUUUAAUAUUCUGAUCAGUUUGAUUUCGACUGUUAGUAUUACAAUUGGUUGUCAUGGUUGACUUCUGCAUAUGCAGAUCAUGGGAUGAGUUGAUACACUAGUUGUUGUAUUGUCUUCUGGGUGAAGGGCAACAUGUUGAAGUGCUUAUGUCAAACCAUGGAUUCCUGAUGGUUUGUAUUGUUUUGGGAAAACAAUUACCUCAUCUUGAUACGACUUUUUUAAUUCCUUUUAGGUGUAGUAGUGAUCACUAUCACCAAUUUUUGGGAUCCCCAACAUGUUGAAGUACUUAUGUCAAACCAUGGAUUCCUGAUGGUUUGUAUUGUUUUGGGAAAGCAAUUACCUCAUCUUGUUGCCACUUUUUAAUUCCUUUUAGGUGUAGUAGCAAUCACUAUCACCAAUUCUUGGGAUGCCUAAUUAUAGGGAGUUCGCCUCGAUGAUUUCAUGAGGGGAACUUUGCUGGAUGUUGUUGUGCUCCUGACAUAAGUUGUUCCGGUAUUUGAUAUCAACCUGGAUUUGAAUCUGGUUUGCAUUUUGGAUUGUAUUUGGUUUGGUAUUGUUUUGGGAGACUUGCAUUCGCUUGACUUGCUUUCAGGCCUGUUGAAAGUUCUGUGCUCUAAGGUGCCAUGUGAUGCUCUCUUAUUGGAGGCAAUAGUGGAGGCGUACAUGGUAUUUGUUCGAUGUUCCUCUGAGAUUUCUGGAUUUCUUCUGCUAUCUGUUGAAUUAUUUUAUGAGUGACGUCUUUUUUAUUGUAUCCUUGCUGACCAUGACGAGUACAGGAGCUAGUUAGGAUUGGUUUUGGAGUUGUGCAAGUUCCAAGAUUCGUGUUGUGGCCAUAGGUUUUUUUUCUUGUAGUUUUGGUAGGCAGCUGCUUUCGCAGUUUAAUUAUUCACCCAAGAAAAAAAAUCUCAGUUUAAUUUGGUUAUUUGUUUUUAAUUUGUGUUAUGAUGGGGAUAUACAUUUUUGGUUCAUACAACUCGUGAUAGUUCAUGUGAUAGUCAUGUAAGAACAAUCAUCUGCACUUAGUGUUACCACUUGCAUCUUUCUUUUAUAUCUUUGUUAUUUGUGUUUCAAAAAAUUUUGGAAUUCUUUCGAUGGUUUUUGUGCCGAUAUUAUCUGUGAACGGAGAAAUGUAUCCCCGCUAGAGGUUUGGUAGAAGAUUGUAGCAGUCUUUUCAACAUCAGCUGCAUAUCCAGUCUUUAGUAAUCGUGAUAUCUGGUAUUUGUCUGCUUUUUGACACUUCUUGUCCUAGUUAUACUUAUGCAUGGCAGUAUCAGCGCAUAUGUUCGCGUCAGUUGCACCCUCUUGAUGCGUGCUAUUCUUGGGUCGGGAAGUUAUUCUGCAAUCUCAGGAUCCAGAGUUGACUGAAACAUAGAUUGCUCUGCCAUUCUUUGUUUGCAUCAGUUGCCACUUUUUUCUGUUGGAUUCUCCGUUGAGCACACUGGUUUGGGGAAGUUGCUGGCACGAUGGAAGGUCUGAAUCCAUCAAAUUUUAAUCUUCGGGUCAAGACAUUGUGUUAGCAUAUUGGAAGUAGUUUCUUAGUAUUUGAUUCUUUUUGAAAAUCUGUGAAUGACUUGGAUUGAUUUUGUCUUUGGAGAUGAAUGCAUGGAUUGGAAUAAAAAAGCGGAGGUAUGAUGUCUCUA